UGGCGGCGUGCCUCAAACAUGCAAGUCGAGCGAAGUUGAGGAAGUGGCUUGCCACGGAAUCAGCUUAGCGGCGGACGGGUGAGUAACGCGUGGGCAAUCUACCCAAAGGACCGGGAUAACACUUCGAAAGGGGUGCUAAUACCGGGUAUGCCCGAGUGGCCGCAUGGCCGUUCGGGGAUAGGGUGGCCUCUUAACAAUGCUACCGCCUCUGGAUGAGCCCGCGUUCCAUUAGCUAGUUGGUAGGGUAACGGCCUACCAAGGCGACGAUGGGUAGCCGGCCUGAGAGGGUGAACGGCCACACUGGGACUGAGACACGGCCCAGACUCCUACGGGAGGCAGCAGUUGGGAAUUUUGGGAAUGGGCGAAAGCCUGACCCAGCGACGCCGCGUGAGCGAAGAAGGCUUUCGGGUUGUAAAGCUCUGUCAUUUGGGAAGAAUACCCGUUUGAGAAUAUUGAGCGGGGAUGACGGUACCAAAGAAGGAAGCCCCGGCUAACUACGUGCCAGCAGCCGCGGUAAGACGUAGGGGGCAAGCGUUGUCCGGAAUUACUGGGCGUAAAGGGCGUGUAGGUGGCUUGUUAAGUCGAGUGUGAAAGCUCGCGGCUCAACCGCGAAACUGCGCUUGAUACUGGCAGGCUUGAGGUUAGGAGAGGAGAGCGGAAUUCCCGGUGUAGCGGUGAUAUGCGUAGAUACCGGGAGGAACACCAGUGGCGAAGGCGGCUCUCUGGACUACACCUGACACUGAGGCGCGAA
rnacentral:rRNA from 1 species